GCCUACGGGGCGCAGCAGUGAGGAAUAUUGGUCAAUGGCCGUAAGGCUGAACCAGCCAAGUAGCGUGAGGGAAGACUGCCCUAUGGGUUGUAAACCUCUUUAGGCGGGGAGCAAUGCCGGGCACGCGUGUCCGGAGGGAGAGUACCCGCAGAAUAAGCAUCGGCUAACUCCGUGCCAGCAGCCGCGGUAAUACGGAGGAUGCGAGCGUUAUCCGGAUUUAUUGGGUUUAAAGGGUGCGUAGGCGGUCCGGAAAGUCAGCGGUAAAAGCCCGGGGCUCAACCCCGGCGAGCCGUUGAAACUGUCGG
rnacentral:rRNA from 1 species